GAAUGCUGACAUAAGUAACGAUAAUGCGGGUGAAAAACCCGCACGCCGGAAGACCAAGGGUUCCUGUCCAACGUUAAUCGGGGCAGGGUGAGUCGACCCCUAAGGCGAGGCCGAAAGGCGUAGUCGAUGGGAAACAGGUUAAUAUUCCUGUACUUGGUGUUACUGCGAAGGGGGGACGGAGAAGGCUAUGUUAGCCGGGCGACGGUUGUCCCGGUUUAAGCAUGUAGGCGGA
rnacentral:rRNA from 1 species